GCUUGGGCUAAGGAGCCACCUGACCAAUACAUAAGGGUCGUUGGAUUUUGAUCCAAUGACUACAAACAGGGGGUUCUCUAAAAAUUAUAAUGAUGAUUGUAGCCGUUUAAUCAAAAUCCAACGAUCCUUGUGUGUUGGUAGGAGGCUCCUGAGCUUGGAG
rnacentral:pre_miRNA from 1 species